rnacentral:lncRNA from 1 species
AACCGCUCAGAGCCGUGUGGAGUUUGUUAUGGAGAGUAGUGGCGUCAGAGGUCGUUCAGGGCCACGUGGAGCCCGUUGUGGAGAGUGGAGUGGUGUCCAUUGUUGGGACUUGCCAGAGAGUGGUGGAGCUGCAUGAAAUCCAUUGCAGAGAGUGGAGCAGGACGGUGGCUCUUGUCGUGGCUUGUUAGAGAGUGGUGUAGCUACAUGGAAUCCGUUGCAGAGAGUGGAGCAGGAUGUUGGUUCUUAUCGUGGCUUGUCAG